rnacentral:lncRNA from 1 species
GAAUCUAUAUAGUUUUAAUGGUAUUUCUUUUCGGUUCCCAGUGACAUCUCCACCCUGCGGGGACAGGCCAUACGCUGCCGCAGCCCGGCACGGAGACAGAGUCUUCACAGGACGUCAGCAGGCGAGGCUCAGCCCAGGUGGACAGUAUCUCCACAGACUCCUUCCUGCACACCCUGCUGGAUGACGCAUGACACAGGUGUGACACAGGCAAGAGGCGACUCUGCCGCUGUGGCCAGAGGUGCCCUUCAGCCGUCCAGCGUGCUCUGACACAGAGACUCCAGUGUCACAUGCAGUGGGGUCUGGUCCCAGGGAGCAUCAGUGUGACACCAGGACAUCUGCGGAGAAGAAGUGGCAGAGAGAGCAGAGGGCUCCAGGAGAGUGGCAUAUUCCAGUGGAUAAAAACAGAUCAAGUAGGACAAAGACCAUCUCAAAAGAAUAGCUAAAACACAUAUUGGAGAAAAGAGCUUGUUUCCCAGUGAUACUGGGAAACUGGAAACAAGAAGAUUGUAGAAGAUUGGAAUGAGAUUCUCAUGUCUCACCCUAUGCAAACAUUAACACAAAAGGUACCAAAGACAUUUCAAGACCAAAGACUUGAAAGUUGUAAAGGAAAACACAGUGGAAACAUUUAUUGAUACAGAUACUGAUUUCCUGAAUGGGAACUAAUAACCCAGAAAAUAACAGCAACUAAUGACCAAAGCAAUUUCAUGAAUUUAAAAGCAUUCUACAUAUCCAAGGAAACAAUGAGAAUGAAUGGACAAUCUUCAGCAGGGGUUAAAGUCUUAGUUCUGUAUUCAUUUGAUGGAUGAUUAAUAUUUAGAAAUAAAAGGAACUCAGAAAAUGGGACAAACAUCUGAAAGAAACUUCUUAAAAGAAGUACACAACACAUAUAUGAUAAAUACUCAAUGCUUAUAGCCACUGAACUAUGUUGAGAUGCCAUCUCACUCCAAUCAAAAUGGUAUUAUCAAGAAUACAAAGUAAAAUAAAUUCUGGUGAGGAUAUAGGGCAAAUGCAACACCUACACAUUUUUUGGUGCUAAUGUAAACUAGUACAGCCACUAUGAAAUCAAUAUGGACACACCUUUAGAAACACA